GUGUGGAUGUCCUCCUGGCUUAACGGCUUGAAAAGUGCAUCUUCAGCGCUUCAUACUUGCUGCACAUGGUUCAUGCAGAUGUGAACGCAGUAAUCACACUCUGAUGCGGAUCAAAAUAACAAGACCCUUUGGAGGACGUGAUCUCUGAUUCCAGAUCAACUCCAGAGUGUUUACACUUUUUCCAAGAUGCAUGCAAAUGCUGGGAGAUCACAGCGACCAAAGAGUGACCAGAGAAAAGGCAAGGAGGUUUUUUGUUUUGACCAACUUCACCCAGGAACAGCCAGCACCUUCCAGCAAUCACUCGCCAACUAGAAGAGGAAUGGAUAUUUUUUCCUGGUAACCAAUUGUUGCCAGAUUGUUGCUGAUGUGUUUGACUGAGAGCUUAAUUUUUAACAAGAAGAUAACUUGCUGUGUUCGAUUUGGGACACCAAUACCCCAUAAAAAAAAUCAUGCACAAAUAUGUAGUACUUGCACUGUAUAAAUAAUGGAACUGUAAUAAUAGAGUAAUCCAAACGGAGACACACUUUAUACUGUAACCACACCCCAAAUGGGCUAGCACAUGACAGCUAUUGCUUUUUAAGAUAAGUUUGUUCUUUAUAUCAUGAUUGUCCUUACCAGUCAAUGGUUUUUCAUAAAAUUGGGUUUUAUUGCAUUUCACUCCAACCACAAAUCCCAACCUAUUGUUGGUGCUAGUGGAAAAAUCAGCAUUGUUGCUAAAAUAAGGGAUCUUCAUCCUGUGGGAAUGACAUCUGUACCAUACCCGUUCCAUAACAAUCUAUCCAGUUGCCACUGAGUUGUUUUCCCUUCAGUGGACUCCUUUCUUGUACUGCAGGCUCUGUGUAAUGUCAAAUAAAUCACCUUGGGGCUUGAGCUAUGGAUUCCUAACACUCCCACUUUUGUCAGGCAAGCUUGACCUAUUUGGACCUCGGUAAUCUCUGACUCCUUUGUGUCUCUCCUGAUGACACUUUACCUACGGCCUCCUUCUUUGUGAACUGAAACACAAGACAGAGGGGUUAGCCGCUUCACGGCUCCUGCAUUUGCUGGUCUGCUGGAUUUCAAAAAGAAGAGCUAUCUUUGCUCCUCAUAAGUGUAAUGUCCCCAGGUCAAGGCUCUAUAUCAUGUCCAGAUAUGAAAAGACUGUCAGUGGGGCA